rnacentral:lncRNA from 1 species
AAACCCAGCGGUCAUCAAUUGCCCCUUUACCUUCUCGUCAGUUAUUGCCUCAACUGACGAGGGGGUAAAUCCCAAGAAUCAUUAUGACCGCGCCUGUUUAUGUACUGCUUCCUUCAUAACGCCUUUUCAUCUUUUUGUCAUUUUGACUUUCGAGUCCCCUCUGUCUUUUUCCAUUUCUGGCUUUCCUCCGUUCUUCGUGCGUACUGCUAUC